rnacentral:rRNA from 1 species
UGCAGCCGCGGUAAUUCCAGCUCCAAUAGCGUAUAUUAAAGUUGUUGCAGUUAAAAAGCUCGUAGUUGAAUUUCGGGAUCAUCAGGUUGGUCGUGCCUCUGGUAUGUACUUUCCUCGAUGGUUCCUCCUUCUUGAAGAACCGUAAUGCCAUUAAUUUGGUGUUGCGGGGAAACAGGACUGUUACUUUGAAAAAAUUAGAGUGUUUAAAGCAGGCAAUCGCUUGAAUACAUUAGCAUGGAAUAAUGAAAUAGGACGUUCGAUCCUAUUUUGUUGGUUUCUAGGAUUGACGUAAUGAUUAAUAGGGAUAGUUGGGGGCAUUAGUAUUCAAUUGUCAGAGGUGAAAUUCUUGGAUUUAU